AUUGAACGCUGGCGGCAUGCCUUACACAUGCAAGUCGAACGGCAGCACGGGUGCUUGCACCUGGUGGCGAGUGGCGAACGGGUGAGUAAUACAUCGGAACAUGUCCUGUAGUGGGGGAUAGCCCGGCGAAAGCCGGAUUAAUACCGCAUACGAUCUACGGAUGAAAGCGGGGGACCUUCGGGCCUCGCGCUAUAGGGUUGGCCGAUGGCUGAUUAGCUAGUUGGUGGGGUCAAGGCCUACCAAGGCGACGAUCAGUAGCUGGUCUGAGAGGACGACCAGCCACACUGGGACUGAGACACGGCCCAGACUCCUACGGGAGGCAGCAGUGGGGAAUUUUGGACGAUGGGCGAAAGCCUGAUCCAGCAAUGCCGCGUGUGUGAAGAAGGCCUUCGGGUUGUAAAGCACUUUUGUCCGGAAAGAAAUCCUUGGCUCUAAUACAGUCGGGGGAUGACGGUACCGGAAGAAUAAGCACCGGCUAACUACGUG
rnacentral:rRNA from 1 species